rnacentral:rRNA from 1 species
AACUUUCAACAAUGGAUCUCUUGGUUCUCGCAUCGAUGAAGAACGCAGCAAAAUGCGAUAAGUAAUAUGAAUUGCAGAAUUCCGUGAAUCAUCAAAUUUUUGAACGCAAAUUGCACUCCUUGGUAUUCCGAGGAGUACACAUGCUUGAGGGUCAAU